AAGUCACCUGCAACACAAAAUAAAAGUUGUGUUGAAUGGACCACAGAAACCGUUGAUAUGCAAAAUGUCUUCUCAAGAAGCCCCAGCCAACAAGUAUGUUUUGGAAAGAGUGGAUUUUUAUGCAAUAAACACUUGGAAUAAAUGGAUGGAUAAAAGGAAAUCAACACAUAGAUAAGGUAGAAUGACUGCAAAUAAGUAGUUUAUCAAAAUAAAAUGUUGGUUUUGUAAGGUGCUGAGAUACAGCUUUCAAGAGAAGUAUCAGGCUGUAAUCUGCACUGAUUAUAGACAAAUAUUUUGUUUACUAAUUCAUCUUAACGGACAGGCACAUAAAAUUUCCAAAAGCAUGCAAUUACUCUGUGAAGUGUGAAACAUUUCUUCCCUACUUAAAACUGCAACAAUACCAAACUCAGAUCACAUAUGUGGUGUAGUAAAAUUAUGAAACAACUAACUGGCCCUUUAAACCAGUUCUCAACUGUUUUAAAAACCAGGUCUGAAGGGCCAGAGAUUUGGGAGCAGCUGAGUGCUUCACUCAUCAUCAGUAGUUUCAUCAGUGCCCAGCCUGGGGGCCUGCUGGGGUUUAGGAUUCUUCUGAUGGGAAUUUUCUCUCAUGUGUGUUGCUACACCUAACAUCCAGAUACUUACAAGAGGUAAAGAAGUUGCGACACCUCAGGGGAGGAGUGCAGGUCCUAGCUUUCUCCUCCCUCUCAUCAUUUGGAUGGGAGAGAGGCUGGAGUCGCUGUGGGAGGAGUUCACCACCACUACAGGGUUGUUUUCUGCUGCCUUCUACCAUGAGUGGAGCUCUGUUUGUAAGAGUGGCCAUUGCACUGGGGCCUUAUUAACACCCUGCCUCACCAGACAGGGACCUUUCACCAUCUGCUGGGGUGCCUCAGGGGACACCCCGGGAUCUCUGAGCCCCUUCUCCCUCCAAGGGAGUCUCUCUCUGCCGCGUUAGUGAGCUGCCACAGCACAGCCUGCUGUGUUCCUUCCCUUCUGCUUCAGUUUUUUCUGCUACAGGGUAGCUCCGCACCCCCUGCCUGCCUGCCUGGAGCUUCUGAUACAUUUUGUUACCACCUCAGGAUUUUGCUCAUUCCUGCAGUCUCUGGUGCUGCUCCUCAGAGUCCUGCAGGGGCACUGGGCUCGGCUGUCGCAGGGGUUUGUGAAGCGAAGCCUCUCUCCUGUCCCUUCCCGCCUGGGCCGAGCCGCCAUCACCGCGUGUGGCCCCGGCCCGCGCCACAGCGCCCCCUGCCGGCCUGGCGGAAUCCCCGCUCCGUCCCGCCCCUUCCGGCGGGAGCAGCAGCGCCCCCUGCUGGCCGUGACCCACAGGGAAAUUGCUUAAAGGGCAGGGAAGACGCUGCUAAUUGGGUUUUCUGGGGUUAUCUUCUUUUGUUUGUUAUUGCUGCCAUGGCUGUUGUUUGUUUGCCUUGUUAUACAUACUAAUAAAGAACUGUUAUUCCUUUUCCCAUA